rnacentral:rRNA from 1 species
UCUAAAACGACUCUCGGCAACGGAUAUCUCGGCUCUUGCAUCGAUGAAGAACGUAGCGAAAUGCGAUACUUGGUGUGAAUUGCAGAAUCCCGUGAACCAUCGAGUCUUUGAACGCAAGUUGCGCCUGAAGCCAUUAGGCUAAGGGCAUGCCUGCCUGGGUGUCACUAA